GACGAACGCUGGCGGCGUGCCUAAUACAUGCAAGUCGAGCGAAGUUUUUCUGGUGCUUGCACUAGAAAAACUUAGCGGCGAACGGGUGAGUAACACGUAAAGAACCUGCCUCAUAGACUGGGACAACUAUUGGAAACGAUAGCUAAUACCGGAUAACAGUAUUUCUCGCAUGAGAGAUAUUUAAAAGUUGGUUAUGCUAACACUAUGAGAUGGCUUUGCGGUGCAUUAGCUAGUUGGUGGGGUAAAGGCCCACCAAGGCGACGAUGCAUAGCCGACCUGAGAGGGUGAUCGGCCACACUGGGACUGAGACACGGCCCAGACUCCUACGGGAGGCAGCAGUAGGGAAUCUUCCGCAAUGGGCGAAAGCCUGACGGAGCAACGCCGCGUGAGUGAAGAAGGAUUUCGGUUGUAAAGCUCUG
rnacentral:rRNA from 1 species